AGUGAACGCUGGCGGUAGGCCUAACACAUGCAAGUCGAACGGCAGCACAGUAAGAGCUUGCCCUUACGGGUGGCGAGUGGCGGACGGGUGAGGAAUACAUCGGAAUCUACUUUUUCGUGGGGGAUAACGUAGGGAAACUUACGCUAAUACCGCAUACGACCUACGGGUGAAAGCAGGGGAUCUUCGGACCUUGCGCGAUUGAAUGAGCCGAUGUCGGAUUAGCUAGUUGGCGGGGUAAAGGCCCACCAAGGCGACGAUCCGUAGCUGGUCUGAGAGGAUGAUCAGCCACACUGGAACUGAGACACGGUCCAGACUCCUACGGGAGGCAGCAGUGGGGAAUAUUGGACAAUGGGCGCAAGCCUGAUCCAGCCAUACCGCGUGGGUGAAGAAGGCCUUCGGGUUGUAAAGCCCUUUUGUUGGGAAAGAAAAGCAGCGGGUUAAUACCCCGCUGCUCUGACGGUACCCAAAGAAUAAGCACCGGCUAACUUCGUG
rnacentral:rRNA from 1 species